CCUACGGGCGGCAGCAGUGAGGAAUAUUGGUCAAUGGGCGGGAGCCUGAACCAGCCAAGCCGCGUGAGGGAAGAAGGUACAGCGUAUCGUAAACCUCUUUUGUCAGGGAACAAAGGCGGGGACGAGUCCCGGAUGAGGGUACCUGAAGAAAAAGCAUCGGCUAACCCCGUGCCCGCAGCCUCGGUAAGACGGAGGAUGCGAGCGUUAUCCGGAUUGAUUGGGGUUCAAGGGGGCGCCGGCGGCCUGUUAAGGCAGCGGUAAAAGCCCGGGGCUCAACCCCGGCGAGCCGUUGAAACUGGCGGGCUGGAGUUGGCGAGAAGUACGCGGAAUGCGCGGUGUAGCGGUG
rnacentral:rRNA from 1 species